rnacentral:rRNA from 1 species
CCUACGGGAGGCAGCAGUGGGGAAUAUUGCACAAUGGGGGAAACCCUGAUGCAGCGACGCCGCGUGAAGGAAGAAGUAUUUCGGUAUGUAAACUUCUAUCAGCAGGGAAGAAAAUGACGGUACCUGACUAAGAAGCCCCGGCUAACUACGUGCCAGCAGCCGCGGUAAUACGUAGGGGGCAAGCGUUAUCCGGAUUUACUGGGUGUAAAGGGAGCGUAGGCGGUUUAGCAAGUCAGAAGUGAAAGCCCGGGGCUCAACCCCCGGACUGCUCUGGAAACUGUACGGCUGGAGUGCAGGAGAGGUAAGUGGAAUUCCUAGUGUAGCGGUGAAAUGCGUAGAUAUUAGGAGGAACACCAGUGGCGAAGGCGGCUUACUGGACUGUAACUGACGUUGAGGCUCGAAAGCGUGGGGAGCAAACAGGAUUAGAUACCCCUGUAGUC